AGCGAACGCUGGCGGCAGGCCUAACACAUGCAAGUCGAACGGAUCCUUCGGGAUUAGUGGCGGACGGGUGAGUAACACGUGGGAACGUGCCCUUUGGUUCGGAACAACUCAGGGAAACUUGAGCUAAUACCGGAUGUGCCCUUCGGGGGAAAGAUUUAUCGCCAUUGGAGCGGCCCGCGUCUGAUUAGCUAGUUGGUGAGGUAAAGGCUCACCAAGGCGACGAUCAGUAGCUGGUCUGAGAGGAUGAUCAGCCACAUUGGGACUGAGACACGGCCCAAACUCCUACGGGAGGCAGCAGUGGGGAAUCUUGCGCAAUGGGCGAAAGCCUGACGCAGCCAUGCGGCGUGAAUGAUGAAGGUCUUAGGAUUGUAAAUUUCUUUCACCGGGGACGAUAAUGACGGUACCCGGAGAAGAAGCCCCGGCUAACUUCGUGCCAGCCGCCGCCGUAA
rnacentral:rRNA from 1 species